rnacentral:rRNA from 1 species
ACUAACUGACUUGAUAGUAUGGGCAACUAUACUAUUCUUGAAACUUUAACAAAAAAACUAUAAAUCAAUUUAUGGUUGAUAAAAACUUAAAUUUUCAACGAUGGAUGUCUUGGCUCCCAUAUCGAUGAAGAACGCAGCUAGAAUGCGAUAUGCAAUGUGAAUUGCAGAACCACGAAUCAUCGGAUCUUUGAACGCGACUGGCGCUGCCUUUAAAAGCAGCAUACUUGUUUCAGUGUGCGCAAACAAAUCAAAAAUUAAAAUGUGAGAGAAGUUCUCUCAUGAAAUAAAUGCUCCCUGCAGCAGUCAGAUUUAUUUCUGAGCUGUGCGGAAAAAAAAUGACUUAUUUGCACCUGAGAUCAAGUAAGAAGACCCGCUGGACUUAAGCAUAUUACUAAGCGGAGGAGAAGAAAUUAACAAAGAUUGCCUCAGUAAGGGCGACUGAACCGGCAAGAGCUCAAAAUUAAAAUCGAGAAUUCAAUGAAUUUUCGAAUUGUAAUCAGUUUUGCCUAAAUACGAGAGUUCGUUUAAUGACGUCGAAACGUCGGCCAGGGAGGGUGAAAGCCCCGUGUAGCGUUCUCUCGAGUAAGGUAAAGCAAACAAGAGUCGGGUUGCUUGGAACUGCAGCCCUAAGCGGGAGAUAUGAUUCUUCCAAAGCUAAAUAUGGAUGGGAGACCGAUAGCGAACAAGUACUGUGAAGGAAAGAUGAAAAGGACUUUGAAAAGAGAGUGAAAAGAUCUGAAAUCGUUGAGAAGGAAGCGGAAGAAACUGAUGGUCGUGCUGAUAGAUAUCGCGGCGUACAGCUGCGUAGUUCUUACCAGAGCGACGGGCAAAUUGAAUUCGAUUGCGUCAAAAAAGGCUUCAGCCGUGAAGGGCGUAAUCGGAUUGAGGGACUAUUGUGAAUUUGCCAAAAUGGUUUUUACCGUCCCGUCUUGAAACACGGACC